rnacentral:rRNA from 1 species
AAGAUUAAGCCAUGCAUGUUUAAGUAUAAGCACAUUGUACAGCGAGACUGCGAAUGGCUCAUUAAAUCAGUUAUAGUUUAUUUGAUGGUACAUGCUACUUGGAUAACGGUGGCAACUCUAGCGCUAAUACAUGUCAUUACUGCCUGACGCAAGAAGGGCGGACUUUAUUAGGUUCAAACCAUCCGGGGCAACCCGUGUGGCGAGUCAUGAUAACGUAUCGAAUCGCAU